UUUCAUAUUGCAGCGGAGGUGUUGAUUUCCCAAAAUAGCUAUAAAAGGGUAUUUCAGAAACAUGUUGCCUUUUGGUCUGAAGGGGUAAGUCAAAGAGCUCUUUCACUUCACCAAGAAAUGAAUUCUCGACAUUUAGAGGAAUUUUGUCAAACAAAGCCUUGAAGCAACCAUGCUCUGAAAUUGCCUUCCAAACUUGAGAUUUCACCAAGUCCCACUCUGAAGUUCCUGGCUUUAGAUCUGACUUGCAGAAAUCUAUUGAAGGAAGCUGAAAAGGAGUUUCCUGGCUCAUAUUUAGGAUACUAGGUUUUUAAUUUGUUGAAAAAAUGAGGAACAGAAAUCUCAAUUCAGGUGUAUUUAAAUGUAAAUAAUUUGGA